GACCUGCGGAGGAUCAUUA
rnacentral:rRNA from 19 species